rnacentral:rRNA from 1 species
UACGUAGGGACCAAGCGUUGUUCGGAUUUACUGGGCGUAAAGGGCGCGUAGGCGGCUUAACAAGUCACUUGUGAAAUCUCCGGGCUUAACUCGGAACGGCCAAGUGAAACUGUCAAGCUAGAGUGCAGAAGGGGCAAUCGGAAUUCUUGGUGUAGCGGUGAAAUGCGUAGAUAUCAAGAGGAACACCUGAGGUGAAGACGGGUUGCUGGGCUGACACUGACGCUGAGGCGCGAAAGCUAGGGGAGCAAACAGG